CAGUUCCUGUAUGAUUACAGAAGUUAAGCAAUGUUGGGCCUGGUCAGUACUUAGAUGGGUUACCACUUGAGAAUACCAGUUACUGUA